GACAAUUCCAUGCUCCCAACUUUGUGGGAACAGUUUGGAGCUGGCCCCUUCCCCUUCCAACAUGACUGUGCACCAGUGCACAAAGCAAGGUCCAUAAAGACAUGGAUGACAGAGUCUGGUGUGGAUGAACUUGACUGGCCUGCACAGAGUCCUGACCUCAACCCGAUAGAACACCUGUGGGAUGAAUUAGAGCGGAGACUGAGAGCCAGGCCUUCUCGUCCAACAUCAGUGUGUGACCUCACAAAUGCGCUUCUGGAAGAAUGGUCAAAAAUUCCCAUAAACACACUCCUAAACCUUGUGGACAGCCUUCCCAGAAGAGUUGAAGCUGUUAUAGCUGCAAAGGGUGGACUGACGUCAUAUUGAACCCUAUGGAUUAGGAAUGGGAUGUCACUUAAGUUCAUAUGCGAGUCAAGGCAGGUGAGCGAAUACUUUUGGCAAUAUAGUGUAUCUUUAGCAAAUUAAGAAUUUGAAAGAGAACUGCAAUUCGAGAAGCAGAGGCACUCAUGCUAACGUGAUCUUUCUCUUGGUCUCAUAUCCCUUCUUGUUCCUUUUUUGCAUUUAGAUCCAAAUAAAAACUUUUUCUUCCUCUCAGUGAUGCACUUCUGUUUUUCCCCUUAUUUUCUGAUUUGUCUGUUGAAACCACACGAUGCUGACCUCAACUAACUUUUGCCAUGACUGUGGUUAUAAGCGUCAGCAUAUAGUGCUGCACUAGAAAGCAAUGUUAACACGAGAACAUUAAUUCCUAGCAAAGCUUAGUGUUUAUGAGUAAAAUUAAUUUUAAAACAAUAGGAAGGCAACUUACGAUUACACUUACAAUGCCAGGAGGUGACUUUUCCAUUAUGAUGCUACUUCUUUGGACAUUUGUUGCCAGCAGGGUUGUUGGUGAGACCAUGACUGGAGGGUUACAUGGGCGAGUGGAGCUUCAAGGACGCUAUGGACACAAUCCAGAUGUAGAAAAAGUGGAAUGGACUAAAUAUGCAGCUGAAAAUUCAACCAGGAAAUUGCUAUAUGUGGUUACUAAGCCAAACAAUGCGACAUGCAUUCAUCAGUGCCAAAAUAUUUCUUUUAAUUUAAAGUGUAUGAGUCUUAUUUUGAUUCAUUUAACAAAGCAAGAUGAAGGCAUUUAUGAGGAGAAAGUCGUAUUUAAAAAUAAUACUAUUCAAAAGUUUAAUAUCAGGUUAUCUGUGCUGUUUGCAUCAAAAAUCAGUGUCUCUUCUUCUCCUGGCUCUCUGACCCUGAAGUGUGAUAUCAGUGAUGACUUUGAGCUGCUGCAAUGGUUCAGGAAUGACCUUCGACUACCGGAUGACCGGAGAUUUUCCCUCACUGAGAAGAACAAGACCAUGCAGGUGUUCAACCUGAUUAGUUCAGACUGUGGCACAUACACCUGUGUGAUUUCAAAUGAAUACGGAACAUCAGCGGCGUAUGUUGAUGUAAACGAUGACGUUUGUGAACAAUCUCACUCAUCACUUUCCUGGUUUUGUGAAGCAGGUUAAUCUACGUUUGCAACAAUUAUGGAAGAAGCUGUUCCUCCGACUUCUGAGCAGACUGAAGACUCUGGCUACUUGACCAUCGCAAAUGUUUUGGAGGACACGCAGCCUUCACAAAAAGCUAUAAAACCUAACUUAAUAGGAGACUAAUGCAUGUGUUCCUUUACCAUAAGCUAAGCUUAGUUCUGUCUAACUCCAGUGGACUUCUGUAUGUUUUCAUUUGCAUCGUAUUAUGAUUAAUUUGCAGUUUGUGAAUUUUUGAUUGUUGAUGCUUAUAAUUACAAACUGCU